rnacentral:tRNA from 1 species
CCUUCGUGGGCGCAGUAGGCAGCGCGUCAGUCUCAUAAUCUGAAGGCGUGGAGUUCGACCCUUCACACGGGGCA